rnacentral:rRNA from 1 species
GACGAGCGCUGGCGGCGUGCCUAAUACAUGCAAGUUGAGCGCUGAAGGUUGGUACUUGUACCAACUGGAUGAGCAGCGAACGGGUGAGUAACGCGUGGGGAAUCUGCCUUUGAGCGGGGGACAACAUUUGGAAACGAAUGCUAAUACCGCAUAAAAACUUUAAACACAAGUUUUAAGUUUGAAAGAUGCAAUUGCAUCACUCAAAGAUGAUCCCGCGUUGUAUUAGCUAGUUGGUGAGGUAAAGGCUCACCAAGGCGAUGAUACAUAGCCGACCUGAGAGGGUGAUCGGCCACAGUGGGACUGAGACACGGCCCAAACUCCUACGGGAGGCAGCAGUAGGGAAUCUUCGGCAAUGGACGAAAGUCUGACCGAGCAACGCCGCGUGAGUGAAGAAGGGUUUCGGAUCGUAAAACUCUGUUGGUAGAGAAGAACGUUGGUGAGAGUGGAAAGCUCAUCAAGUGACGGUAACUACCCAGAAAGGGACGGCUAACUACGUG